rnacentral:rRNA from 1 species
GACGAAACGCUGGCGGCGUGCUUAAACACAUGCAAAGUCGAGCGGUAAAGGCCCUUUCGGGGGGUACACGAGCGGCGAAACGGGUGAGUAAACACGUGGGUGACCUGCCCUCAGCUCUGGGAUAAAGCCUGGGAAAACCGGGUCUAAAUACUGGAUAUGACUCCAUGACGCAUGUUGUGGGGGUGGAAAAGCCUUGUGCGGCUGAGGAUGGGCCCGCGGCCUAUCAGCUUGUUGGUGGGGUGAUGGCCUACCAAGGCGACGACGGGUAGCCGGCCUGAGAGGGCGA